UCUGAGAUCUCCGGCCACCCAUGAUAUAAUGGGCCACCGUCAACGGCAGCCACCACCGCUUCAAACGGGUCCGCCACCACCUUACCGGCAAAACCCAGGUCCUCAAUAUCCAACCCGUCAACCCCAGAGCAACCCUCCAUCCUCAUCACAACAACACAGAGCUGAAGAGGACGAUGUUUAUAAUAUAAUCCCCGUCCAUAAUCUUCUCGCGGACCACCCAUCUCUCCGGUAUCCGGAAGUUCGCGCUGCUGCAGCUGCUUUACGAGCCGUUGGUGACCUCCGGCGACCCCCGUUUUCGCCGUGGCUUCCUCACUACGAUUUGUUGGAUUGGUUGGCUUUGUUUUUCGGGUUUCAAGCUUCAAAUGUGAAGAACCAGAGAGAGCACCUCGUUCUGCAUUUGUCCAAUGCUCAGAUGCGGCUUACUCCGCCGCCGGAUAAUAUUGAUUCGCUUGACCCUUCAGUUCUCCGGCGGUUCCGGAAGCAACUCUUGAAGAAUUACUCCAGCUGGUGCUCCUUUCUCCGGUUGAAGUCUAAUGUGUGGAUUUCUGAUUCGACUCGUCACGCCUCUGAUCCCCGGCGGGAGCUGCUGUAUGUCUCGCUUUACUUGCUCAUAUGGGGUGAGUCUGCGAAUUUACGGUUUGCUCCUGAGUGUUUGUGUUUUAUAUUUCAUAAUAUGGCUAUGGAAUUGAAUAAAAUUUUGGAAGGUUAUACUGAUGAGAAUACUGGGAGUCCCUUUUUGCCUUCGAUUUCGGGGGAAAAUGCAUUUUUGAAUCGGAUUGUUAAGCCCAUUUAUGAGGCGAUUAAGGCUGAGGUCGAGAAUAGUAGGAAUGGGACGGCCCCACAUUCUGCUUGGAGGAAUUACGACGAUAUUAAUGAGUAUUUCUGGAGUAGGAGGUGUUUAGAGAAGUUGAAAUGGCCUAUGGAUACUGGGAGUACAUUUUUCGUGACCACAAAUAAGGGGAAGAAGGUGGGGAAGACGGGCUUUGUGGAGCAGAGGUCGUUCUGGAACCUGUUUAGGAGCUUUGACAAGCUUUGGAUCAUGUUGAUUUUGUUCCUUCAGGCGGCCAUAAUUGUGGCUUGGGAGCAGAGGCAGUAUCCAUGGCAGGCACUAGAAAGGCGGCCAGUGCAAGUCAAAGUGUUGACCGUGUUCUUUACUUGGAGUGGUCUGAGAUUCUUGCAGUCUUUGCUCGAUUUCGGAAUGCAGUAUGGUCUGGUUUCGAGGGAGACUAAGAUGCUUGGCGUUAGGAUGGUGCUGAAGAGCGUGGUGUCAGCUGGGUGGAUUGUGGUUUUUGGGGCAUUCUAUGCAAGAAUUUGGUCACAAAGGAAUGCUGAUCGGGGGUGGUCUGCAGCAACAAAUAGGAGGAUUGUGAAUUUCCUUGAGGUCGCUUUGGUGUUUAUUGUUCCAGAGAUUUUGGCUUUGGCUCUGUUCAUAUUGCCCUGGAUCCGAAAUUUCCUCGAGAAUACUAAUUGGAGGAUAUUUUAUAUGCUGUCCUGGUGGUUCCAGAGUCGGACAUUUGUGGGUAGGGGUCUGAGGGAAGGGCUGGUUGACAAUAUAAAGUAUACUUUCUUCUGGGUUGUGGUACUUGCCACAAAGUUUGCCUUCAGUUACUUCAUGCAGAUCAAACCUAUGAUUGUUCCGACGAAGGCUUUGUUGGACCUAAAAAAUGUUAACUAUGAGUGGCACGAGUUUUUCAGCAGAAGCAACAGGUUUGCAGUUGGCCUGAUUUGGCUUCCUGUGGUUGUGAUUUACUUCAUGGAUAUUCAGAUCUGGUAUUCAAUCUACUCUGCAAUUGUUGGUGUGGGAGUUGGCUUAUUUGAGCACUUGGGUGAGAUUCGGAAUAUGCAACAGUUACGUUUGAGGUUUCAGUUCUUUGCUAGUGCAAUUCAAUUCAAUUUGAUGCCUGAAGAGCAGCUACUGCAUGCUAGGGGUUCAUUGAAAAGUAAGUUCAGGGAUGCCAUCAAUCGAUUGAAGCUGCGCUAUGGUUUUGGCCGGCCCUUUAAGAAGCUUGAGUCCAAUCAGGUGGAGGCAAAUAAGUUUGCCUUAAUAUGGAAUGAGAUUAUCUUGAUAUUCAGGGAGGAAGACAUCAUUAGUGAUCAUGAGGUUGAGUUGUUGGAACUGCCACAGAAUACCUGGAAUGUCCGGGUGAUCCGUUGGCCAUGUUUACUUCUUUGUAAUGAGCUGCUUCUUGCUCUUAGCCAGGCUAAGGAACUGGUGGAUGCCCCUGACAAAUGGCUUUGGUUCAAGGUAUCCAAGAAUGAGUACAGGCGUUGUGCCGUCAUUGAAUCUUAUGACAGUGUCAGGCACUUCCUCUUGGAGAUUGUCAAACGCAACACUGAGGAGCAUUCCAUCAUCAGGACCUUCUUCCAAGAAAUUGAUGAGUGGAUUCAGAUGGAGAAGUUCACAAAACAGUACAAGAUGACUGCACUGCCGCAGAUUCAUGAUAAGCUUGUCAAACUUCUUGAUUUAGUGCUCAAGCCAAAGACAGAUGUUAAUAAAGUUGUCAAUGCUUUACAAGCUCUCUAUGAGACUGCUAUUCGAGAUUUUCUCAAAGAGCAGAGGAGUCCUGAUCAACUGAGGGAAGAUGGUUUGGCUCCACAGAGGCCAGCUUCCAGUUCUGGACUGCUUUUUGAGAAUUCAGUUGAGUUACCUGGUCAAGAUAAUGAGAUAUUCUAUCGCCAGGCUCGUCGCUUGUACAAGAUUCUCACAUCUCAUGAUUCAAUGCUCAAAGUUCCAGCAAAUCUUGAGGCAAGACGUCGAAUUGCAUUCUUUAGCAACUCAUUAUUUAUGAAUAUGCCCCACGCUCCCCAGGUUGAGAAAAUGAUGGCUUUCAGUGUUUUGACUCCCUACUACAACGAAGAAGUGCUAUACAGCAAGGAACAACUUCGUACUGAGAAUGAAGAUGGGAUCUCUACGCUCUAUUAUCUGCAGACAAUUUAUUCUGAUGAUUGGAAGAAUUUCUUGGAGAGGAUGAAGCGAGAAGGAAUGGUGGAUGAGAAAGAACUAUGGACAAUGAAGAUAAGAGAUCUUCGCCUUUGGGCAUCGUACAGAGGCCAGACGCUUGCCCGUACUGUGAGAGGAAUGAUGUAUUAUUAUCGGGCACUUAAAAUGCUGGCCUUUCUAGAUUCUGCCUCAGAGAUGGACAUCAGGGAAGGAGCCCGUGAACUUGGUUCCAUGAGACGUAAUGAUAGCAUGGAUCAUUACAGCUCUGAAAUGUCGCCCUCUGGGAGAAGCUUGAGCAGAACAAGUAGCUCAGUGAGUUUAUUAUUCAAAGGCCACGAGUAUGGGACUGCUUUGAUGAAGUUCACUUAUGUUGUAGCGUGUCAGAUAUAUGGGUCUCAGAAGGCCAAAAAAGAUCCCCAUGCAGAUGAUAUCCUGUACUUGAUGCAAAAUAAUGAAGCACUUCGGGUUGCUUAUGUGGAUGAGGUAACUGUUGGGAGGGAUGAGAAGGCGUAUUACUCAGUUCUUGUGAAGUAUGACCCGCAGUUGCAAAAAGAAGUUGAGAUCUAUCGAGUCCAGUUGCCUGGUCCCUUGAAGCUUGGAGAGGGAAAGCCAGAGAACCAGAACCAUGCCUUCAUCUUCACUAGGGGAGAUGCCGUUCAAACUAUAGACAUGAACCAAGAUAACUAUUUUGAGGAGGCACUUAAAAUGCGGAACCUAUUGGAGGAAUUCAGACGCCGCUAUGGUAUUAGAAAGCCUACUAUUCUUGGAGUUCGUGAACAUAUUUUCACUGGCUCUGUCUCAUCACUUGCAUGGUUUAUGUCCGCCCAGGAGAUGAGUUUUGUAACAUUGGGCCAGCGUGUGUUGGCUAAUCCUUUGAAAAUCCGAAUGCAUUACGGCCACCCUGAUGUGUUUGAUAGGUUUUGGUUUUUAACACGAGGUGGCAUAAGCAAAGCUUCAAGAGUUAUCAACAUCAGUGAGGAUAUCUUUGCUGGCUUCAACUGCACUUUGCGAGGUGGUAAUGUCACUCACCAUGAGUACAUUCAAGUUGGCAAGGGAAGAGAUGUUGGUUUAAAUCAAGUCUCAAUGUUUGAAGCCAAGGUUGCUAGUGGGAAUGGCGAGCAAGUUCUGAGCAGAGAUGUGUAUAGAUUGGGUCAUAGGCUGGAUUUCUUCAGGAUGCUUUCAUUCUUCUAUUCUACUGUUGGAUUCUUUUUCAAUACAAUGAUGAUUGUCCUAACCGUUUAUGCAUUUUUGUGGGGCCGGCUGUAUUUGGCACUUGGUGGAGUAGAGGGUUCUGCUAAUAGUAAAACCAACAAUAAUAGAGCACUUGCUACAAUCUUGAACCAACAGUUCAUCAUCCAACUUGGUAUCUUCACCGCCUUACCAAUGAUUGUGGAGAAUUCUCUUGAGCAUGGUUUCCUUAACGCUGUUUGGGAAUUCAUAACAAUGCAGCUUCAGCUUUCAUCUGUAUUCUACACAUUUUCCAUGGGAACUCGUGCCCAUUACUUUGGACGAACUAUUCUCCAUGGUGGCGCAAAAUACCGGGCAACAGGGCGUGGUUUUGUGGUUCAGCAUAAGAGCUUUGCUGAAAACUAUAGAUUGUAUGCACGUAGCCACUUUGUGAAGGCAAUUGAGCUGGGACUAAUACUCACUGUUUAUGCUUCAUACAGCCCUAUAGCCAAGGGAACUCUUGUUUAUAUAUUACUGACUAUCUCAAGUUGGUUCCUGGUGGUGUCCUGGUUAUUGGCACCGUUUGUGUUCAAUCCUUUGGGAUUUGAUUGGUUAAAGACCGUUUAUGAUUUUGAUGAUUUUAUGAAUUGGAUUUGGUACAGAGGUGGUGUGUUUGCAAAAGCCGAACAAAGCUGGGAACAGUGGUGGUACGAGGAACAGGAUCAUUUGAGGACGACUGGUCUUUGGGGGAAAGUACUGGAAAUAAUUUUGGACCUGCGCUUCUUCUUUUUCCAGUAUGGCAUUGUAUAUCAGCUGGGUAUUGCUGCUGGAAGUAAGAGCAUUCUGGUUUACUUGCUUUCCUGGAUCUUUGUGGUGGUGGCUCUUGGACUUUAUCUGAUUGUAGCAUAUGCUCGGGACAAAUACUCUGCCAAGGAGCAUAUCUACUAUCGUCUGGUUCAGUUCCUUGUUGUUAUUCUGGUCAUUGUUGUGAUCAUUGCAUUGCUGGAAUUUACACAUUUCAAAUUUGGUGAUCUGUUCAUAAGCUUGUUGGCUUUUGUUCCUACUGGUUGGGGAUUCAUUUUGAUCGCCCAAGUUCUAAGACCCUUCUUGCAAAAAACCAUGAUCUGGGACAUAGUUGUAUCUGUUGCCCGCUUGUAUGACAUCAUGUUUGCUGUGAUUGUCUUGGCUCCAGUAGCAGUUUUGUCAUGGUUGCCUGGUUUCCAGUCAAUGCAGACAAGGAUUCUGUUCAAUGAAGCAUUUAGUAGGGGUCUGCAGAUAUUCCAGAUCAUAACAGGGAAAAAACCAAAGGGUGACGUGUAAUUUGAGAUGUUGGCAUUAGGCCAUGUGUUACGACCAUAUGGUGGCUUUGCUGUUGUCUUGGAGUUUCUGCACAAAAUGUGACAUUGUGUGUCAAAUUGCUUCUCACUAUGGUUUAGAGUUGGACUGAAGAUUAGGUACCGUACAGGACUUGACACCCUAGCUUUGUUUUCUAUUUGUAGAGCUUCUUGUGUGCAUUGUAGCAGCAGCUUUACUAUAAUGUGUCUGUUGAUUCCGGUGUUGGAGGGGCAGAGGCACUAACUGGUUUUUCAUCAAUGCUAGAUUUCAUCUACUGUUGUAAUUACGCUUGUUUUUUCCACGCAAAUUUCUAGUGCCCAGAUGGGGAACUUGUCAUUCAUUUUUAAUACCCCAGGAUUCAUAGUGUGCAGAGCUUACUUAAGCAUAUAAUUUGGUUGUUACACAAAUAGUUUGUCAAACAACAUAGAAAUUAGCAUUUGAAUUCAUGAGUUGUUGCAGUAUAAACAUCGUUUAAAUUGACUUCCAUUCAAUUGAAUACACCCAAUUUUCAUCA